rnacentral:rRNA from 1 species
GAUGAACGCUGGCGGCGUGCCUAAUACAUGCAAGUCGCGCGAACAGACGAGGAGCUUGUUCCUUUGACGUUAGCGGCGGACGGGUGAGUAACACGUGGAUCACCCACCUAUCAGACUGUGAUCACUUCGCGAAACCGGAGCUAAUACCGGAUAAUAUAUUCAGCCGCAUGGUUCAAUAGUUAAAGACGGUUUUGCUGUCCCUUAUAGAUUGAUUCGCGCUGCAUUAGCUAGUUGGUAAGGGAUCGGCUUCUCAAGGCAACGCUGCGUAGCGGACCUGAGAGGGGGUGAGGCGACAAUGGAAGUUAGAAAGUGGCCAGACACCGAUGGUGCGCAGCAGUAGGGAAUAUUCAGCAAUGGGCGAAAGCCUGACAGAGCAACGCCGCGUGAGUGAUGAAGGGCUUCGGGUCGUAAAGCUCUGUUAUCAGGGAAGAACAGAUGUGAGAGUAACUAUGCACGUGUUGACGGUACCGAAACAGAAAGCCACGGCUAACUACGUG